UACGAAGGGGGGCAAGCGUUGUUCGGAAUUACUGGGCGUAAAGGGCGCGUAGGCGGCCGAUCAAGUCAGGCGUGAAAUUCCCGGGCUCAACCUGGGGGCUGCGCUUGAUACUGAUUGGCUUGAAUGCGGGAGAGGAUAGUGGAAUUCCCAGUGUAGAGGUGAAAUUCGUAGAUAUUGGGAAGAACACCGGUGGCGAAGGCGGCUAUCUGGCCCGUAAUUGACGCUGAGGCGCGAAAGCGUGGGGAGCAACAGG
rnacentral:rRNA from 1 species